rnacentral:misc_RNA from 1 species
UCUCCGUAGGUGAACCAGCGGAGGGAUCAUUACCAAAGUUUAACAACUCACAAUCCAUCUGGGAACCUACCUAUCGUUGCUUCGGCGGACUCGCCCCAGCGUCAGGACGGCCCCGGGCCGGCCCGUGAGCCGGAUACAGGCGGCCGACGGAGACCACAAAACCCUGUAUCCAUCAGUCCAUAUGAAUAGGCCGCAAGGAAAAACAAAAGAAACAAAACUUUUAACAAUGGAACUCUUGGAUAUGGCAUCGAAGAGGAACGCAGCAGAUCGGAAGAGCAA